GGAAAGGGUGACGGGGGAAGGGCAGACCCCGUGCCCUGGGUGGUGGGGAGCUGACAGGGCAGGGGCCCUUGGCUGAGCCCACCCCCCUGGCUCCCAGAUCAGGGUGGGCCUGAGGCAGGCAGCCGACCUGAGGCCUGGGGGCACCGUGGACCCCUAUGCCCGGGUCAGCGUCUCCACCCGGGCCGGACACAGACAUGAGACAAAAGUGCACCGAGGCACGCUCUGCCCCGUGUUUGACGAGACCUGCUGCUUCCACAUCCCGCAGGCGGAACUGCCAGGGGCCACCCUGCAGGUGCAGCUUUUCAACUUCAAGCGCUUCUCGGGGCAUGAGCCCCUGGGUGAGCUCCGCCUGCCACUGGGCACCGUGGAUCUGCAGCAUGUUCU
rnacentral:sRNA from 1 species